rnacentral:rRNA from 1 species
AUUGAACGCUGGCGGCAGGCCUAACACAUGCAAGUCGAGCGGAGCGGCGGACGGGUGCGUCAUGCCUAGGAAUCUGCCUGGUAGUGUGGGAUAACGUCCGGAAACGGGCGCUACUACCGCAUACUAUCAGAUGAUCCUAUGUCGGAUGAGCUAGUUGGUGGGGUAACGGCCUACCCAGGCGACGAUCCGUAACUGGUCUGAGAGGAUGAUCAGUCCCACUGGAACUGGGACACGGUCCAGACUCCUACGGGAGGCAGCAGUGGGGAAUAUUGGACAAUGGGGGAAAGCCUGAUCCAGCCAGGCCGCGUGUGUGAAGAAGGUCUUCGGAUUGGAAAGCACUGUAAGUUGGGAGGAGGUACCAACAGAAUAAGAACCGGCUAACUGCGUGCCAGCAGCCGCGGUAAUAC